UGUGGGAGGGGGCUUGCUCUCGAUAGCGGUGUGUCAGUUACAGGUGAGCUGACUGAUGCAUUGCUAUCGGGAGCAAGCCCCCUCCCACA
rnacentral:misc_RNA from 1 species